UUCACUUCUUAAAAUCAGGAGGUGUACAGGUAAAAAUCAUAAAAACAAAUAUGAAAGAAACACUGGUCCUACGCGUUUCGUCCUUGUGCAAAAGGACUUCCUCAGGGACCUCUUUCAAUAAGAUAAAAUCACAGGUACAAAAUCAAAAAGCAUCCUAAAAACGCUACCAAACAAGCAAUCUUAUAUAGGGCUAAUCCCUUCAAGUUGGUGGAAUAGUGGGUGUCUUCUCAUUUUCUCAGUUCUUAUUCGUCCAAAGUUUCUUCUCCCCAGGUGCGAUCACUUUACCGGAACAAAUGCCGGGUUCUUUCAGUAUUCGGCCACUUCCGCGUACGUUAUAUGGUGUGCACGGUGAAUAGCACU